UACAGGACGAACGCUGGCGGCACGCUUAACACAUGCAAGUCGAACGAAGAUGUUUCACCGUAGCUUGCUACACCGAGACAUUUUAGUGGCGGACGGGUGAGUAACACGUGAGCAAUCUGCCUUUCAGAGGGGGAUACCAGUUGGAAACGACUGUUAAUACCGCAUAACAUAUCGAGAUCGCAUGAUAUUGAUAUCAAAGAUUUAUCGAUGAAAGAUGGGCUCGCGUCUGAUUAGAUAGUUGGUGGGGUAACGGCCUACCAAGUCGACGAUCAGUAGCCGGACUGAGAGGUUGAACGGCCACAUUGGAACUGAGAUACGGUCCAGACUCCUACGGGAGGCAGCAGUGGGGAAUAUUGGGCAAUGGGCGCAAGCCUGACCCAGCGACGCCGCGUGCGGGAAGAAGGUCUUCGGAUUGUAAACCGCUGUAGACAGGGACGAAACAAAUGACGGUACCUGUAAAGUAAGCCACGGCUAACUACGUG
rnacentral:rRNA from 1 species